AUAUACACACUCUGCAUUAUAUACACAGAGUCUGUGUAUAUAAUGUAGAGUGUGUGUUU
rnacentral:miRNA from 1 species